GCCUCUGUAGUUCAGUCGGUAGAACGGCGGACUGUUAACCCGUAUGUCACUGGUUCGAGUCCAGUCAGAGGAGCCA
rnacentral:tRNA from 1 species